AAUAGAUACCCUGGUAGUCCACGCCGUAAACGAUGAGUGCUAAGUGUUAGGGGGUUUCCGCCCCUUAGUGCUGCAGCUAACGCAUUAAGCACUCCGCCUGGGGAGUACGGUCGCAAGACUGAAACUCAAAGGAAUUGACGGGGGCCCGCACAAGCGGUGGAGCAUGUGGUUUAAUUCGAAGCAACGCGAAGAACCUUACCAGGUCUUGACAUCCCAUUGACCACUAUGGAGACAUAGUUUUCCCUUCGGGGACAACGGUGACAGGUGGUGCAUGGUUGUCGUCAGCUCGUGUCGUGAGAUGUUGGGUUAAGUCCCGCAACGAGCGCAACCCUUGUUCUUAGUUGCCAUCAUUUAGUUGGGCACUCUAAGGAGACUGCCGGUGACAAACCGGAGGAAGGUGGGGAUGACGUCAAAUCAUCAUGCCCCUUAUGACCUGGGCUACACACGUGCUACAAUGGACGGUACAAACGGUUGCCAACCCGCGAGGGGAGCUAAUCCGAUAAAACCGUUCUCAGUUCGGAUUGUAGGCUGCAACUCGCCUAUA
rnacentral:rRNA from 1 species